rnacentral:rRNA from 1 species
GAUGAACGCUGGCGGCGUGCCUAAUACAUGCAAGUCGAGCGAACGGACGAGAAGCUUGCUUCUCUGAUGUUAGCGGCGGACGGGUGAGUAACACGUGGAUAACCUACCUAUAAGACUGGGAUAACUUCGGUAAACCGGAGCUAAUACCGGAUAAUAUUUUGAACCGCAUGGUUCAAAAGUGAAAGACGGUCUUGCUGUCACUUAUAGAUGGAUCCGCGCUGCAUUAGCUAGUUGGUAAGGUAACGGCUUACCAAGGCAACGAUGCAUAGCCGACCUGGGAGGGUGAUCGGCCACACUGGAACUGAGACACGGUCCAGACUCCUACGGGAGGCAGCAGUAGGGAAUCUUCCGCAAUGGGCGAAAGCCUGACGGAGCAACGCCGCGUGAGUGAUGAAGGUCUUCGGAUCGUAAAACUCUGUUAUUAGGGAAGAACAUAUGUGUAAGUAACUGUGCACAUCUUGACGGUACCUAAUCAUAAAGCCACGGCUAACUACGUG